UUAUUGGAGAGUUUGAUCCUGGCUCAGGAUGAACGCUGGCGGCGUGCCUAAUACAUGCAAGUCGAGCGAAUGGAUUAAGAGCUUGCUCUUAUGAAGUUAGCGGCGGACGGGUGAGUAACACGUGGGUAACCUGCCCAUAAGACUGGGAUAACUCCGGGAAACCGGGGCUAAUACCGGAUAACAUUUUGAACCGCAUGGUUCGAAAUUGAAAGGCG
rnacentral:rRNA from 1 species